rnacentral:misc_RNA from 1 species
UUGACAUUGUUGUAGAUUUUUAGGUCGCAGUUCUGUUCGAGCAGGUUUUGGAACAUUUUCCAGUCUGUCUUUUUGUAGUUGUACCUGGGUGUUUCGGUCUGCGUUUCGAGUGUUAGUAUGGCGUUAUGGUCGCUGUCGUAGUCUAUGGUUUUGAGAGUGUUAUUUGGUCGUAAGUUUUGGAAUUUUAUUCGGGCGUCUGCUAGGCAUAUGUCUAGGUAGGAGCGUCCUUUUGGGUAAGAGGGUAGCUCGG